rnacentral:rRNA from 1 species
GAUGAACGCUAGCGGCAGGCUUAAUACAUGCAAGUCGAGGGGCAGCACGGUUAGCAAUAACUGGUGGCGACCGGCGCACGGGUGCGUAACACGUAUACAAUCUACCUUAAACAGGGGGAUAGCCUUUCGAAAGAGAGGUUAAUACCCGUAAUAAAUUGAACGGCAUCGUUUGAUUUUGAAAGCUCCGGCGGUUUGAGAUGAGUAUGCGUCUGAUUAGCUAGUUGGUGAGGUAACGGCUCACCAAGGCGACGAUCAGUAGGGGGAUCUGAGAGGACUAACCCCCACACUGGUACUGAGACACGGACCAGACUCCUACGGGAGGCAGCAGUAAGGAAUAUUGGUCAAUGGAGGCAACUCUGAACCAGCCAUGCCGCGUGCAGGAUGACGGCCCUAUGGGUUGUAAACUGCUUUUAUACAAGAGAAAACCCUGGUACGUGUACCAGGUUGAUAGUAUUGUAAGAAUAAGCAUCGGCUAACUUCGUGCCAGCAGCCGCGGUAAU